AAAGUACUCCCUCCGUCCAAAAAUACUUGUCAUUGAAAUGGAUGUAUCUAGAUGUAUUUUAGUUGUAGAUACAUCCAUUUUCAUCCAUUUUGAUGACAAGUAUUUCCGGACAGAGGGAGUAUGAA
rnacentral:pre_miRNA from 1 species